AAUCAUGUCUUUGUCUUCUGUUUAUUCAAGUGUAUUCCAUUUGCUUUCGGGAAUAUUUGGAUGUUUUAGAACUAACAUUCUGCUUUAAUAAUCCAAACACACUAUAAUUCCAUCAAUUUGAGUCUCUUAAAAUGUUACACUGAAAUGAAUCUCUCUGAAGAUGGACUUAUUGAUUUCUAUAUUCUUCCUCUAGCAUCAUGAAAUUUGACCUCUUCAGCCGUGCAUGGUUAACACUCCAUCUAUCUGAGUAAGUCCUGCCUUGAAGAAUCGUGAGUGCAAACCAGUUUGAGAGAGAAGAGGAAAAAUAAAUGCCCUAAUCCUGGACCUCAUGUAAGAAGUUCAGGAACCACAAGACUCUGCGGAAGAGAGGAGCCAUAGAGGAGCACUGAGCUGCUAGACAUGUGAGUGAAGAAACCAUCCUUGCUUGACACCAGCCCAUCAAAGAC
rnacentral:lncRNA from 1 species